UACGAAGGGGGCUAGCGUUGUUCGGAAUUACUGGGCGUAAAGCGCGCGCAGGCGGUCUUCCAAGUCAGUGGUGAAAGCCCGGAGCUCAACUCCGGAACUGCCAUUGAAACUGUAAGACUUGAGGAUGAGAGAGGUGAGUGGAAUUCCCAGUGUAGAGGUGAAAUUCGUAGAUAUUGGGAAGAACACCGGUGGCGAAGGCGGCUCACUGGCUCAUUUCUGACGCUCAGGCGCGACAGCGUGGGGAGCAAACAGG
rnacentral:rRNA from 1 species